UAAAAAUUAUUAAUAAAGAUUUAUAUGUAAAUUGGAGGACCUAUAUGUAAAUAUAGAAAUUACAAGGACUAAACUGCUAAGUUGCAAAAAAGAAAAAAAAAGGGAAAACCGAAAAUUCGGUAUUAUCCCACCGCCUCCCACGCACUCUGUUUCUUCCAGAAACAGAGAGAGCGGUGGGGCGUGAGGACAAGAAGGAGAGUGGUAGAAGAAGAGGAGGUGGCUGCAGCGAGGGCUGCAGCGAGAAGCUGUGGGGCGUGGGGAGAAGAAGAGAGGAAGAAGAGGGAGAAGAGAAGAAGAAGAAGAAGAAGAAGAAGAAGAGAAGAGGAUAGCUGCGGCAAGGCUGCAGCGAGGAGGUGUGUGGGGUUGGGGAGGAAAAGGGAAGAGGAGAAGAAGAGGGAAAAGAGAGGGAAGAGGGAGAGGAGCGAGAGGUGGCAGCAGCUAGGGCUGCAGCACCUCUGUUUCCUGCAGGUGGAAACAGAGGAGAGGUGUGGGGCGUUCGAAGAGGAGAAGAAGAAGAAGAGGAAGAGAAGAGGAAGAGGAAGCAGGGGAAGAGGUUGUGAUACCUCUGUUUCCUGCAGACGAAACAGAGGAGAGGGUGUGGGUGACGUCGGGGAGAAGAAGGGGAGGAAGGAGAAGAAGAGAAGAAGAAGAAAGGAAGGAAAAGGAAGAGGAGAAGGGAAGAAAGUAGCUGCGGCUGCGGUUGUGGCAGCUGCAGCUGUGGCAGGGAAAGAAGAAGAGAAAGGAAGAAGGGAAGGAGAGGAAGAAGAGAAGGGGCUACGGCUGCGGCGAUGGCAGCUGCAGUUGGAAGAGAAGAAGGAGAGGAAGAUGAGCAGGGGAGGAAGAAAGGGCUGUGGCCGUGGCUGAGGCUGCGACUGCAGCAUGCAGCUGGGAAAGAAGAGAAGGAAAGGAAGAAGAAGAGAAAGGAAGAAGGGAAGGAGAGGAAGAAGAGAAGGGGCUACGGCUGCGGCGAUGGCAGCUGCAGUUGGAAGAGAAGAAGGAGAGGAAGAUGAGCAGGGGAGGAAGAAGAGGCUGCGAGUGUGGUGGCUGCGGCCGUGGCUGCGACUCCGGCGGCGGCUGCGACGUUGGCUGCGGUAGCUGCGGCAGCGGUGGUGGCUGCAGUAGCUGCAGUAGCUGCUUUUGGGAAAGAGAAAGAGUAGGAACGAGAGAAGGGAAGAAAGAAAUAGUGCAGUGGAAGGGGGCUGCGGUUGUGAUCGCAGUUGCGGUCGUGGCUGCGAUUGUGGCAGCGGCAGCGACGGCGGCUGUGGCAGCUGUGUUUGGGAAAGAAAAAGAAGGAAUGAGAGUAAGAGAGAGCAGGUGACUGUGCCUCGAUGUUCGACACGUGAUGUAGUUACGAAGAAAGGAAGAAAACGGGAGCACAAAACGAAACAGAGAGAGGACACGGAGGAAAAGUAGAAAGAUUGGAUUGGCACCUUCCUUGGAUAUUCAGAUCGAAAUCUUUGAAAGGUCAGCUUGUCACUCUUCGAGAUGUUUGAUUUGGGCUGAGGCAGUGGAUAACUAUUCAGAAUGAUGGGCAAGUCUGGUUGGUUAUUACGAUAUUGUUGUAUAAGUAUGUUUUGUAUGUAAUGAAAUGUUGUCGAUGAACCGAAAUGGAUAUACUGUGUCAAAGUGUUAGGAGAUCUCUCUUAUUUGGAAUUUCUGAAUGUUAAGUCUAAUUUAUGAUGUUAUGAUCUUGUGGUGAAUAGUUGGAGUUCUGAUUGUAUAAUUUAUUUAGCUUGUGGAAUUAUAAAUGUUGUUCAUGUUUGUCAAGUUGGCUUGGGUUGCCAUAAAUGUGAAUUAUCGAGUGAUGUGAUAUAUGAUUUUAAAAUGCACAGGUUUUAUGGAUGUGAAUAUGAAUAGAAUGUUUUUCAGUGUCCUCAAACGUUAAUUUGGAUCCUGGAUUGGUUUGUGAUGAUGAAAAAUUUUAAUAUCAUGGAUAAUAUUUUGAGGGGCGUGUCAGAGGUGGUAUCAGAGCAUGGUUUGAGGAUUACUGAAAUAUUUGAUAUGUUGACGUGCAAAAUAUUUCGAGGUCUAGUACACUAUAGUGAUCGGGAAGAUUUUCCUUGAUGUUUUUUAGGAAUCUAGGAUGACGGUGACAUUUAGUCCACCUAUUUCAUCUGGUUUUGAUUAAUUAAGUGGGAUGAAAGGGGUAAUUGGGAAUAUUGAAUCAGAGUGGCGCAGCGGAAGCUUGGUGGACCUAAUUUCAUUGGUGGUAGAAAAAUGAAUGAUGCAAACGGAGAAGAUAUUUGAUAUACAAAAUUGUUCUAAUGAUCAAAAGAUUUCUUUUGCUACCUUAUAUUGGAAGUAGAGGCUGAUUAUUAUGGGCAACAAUGAAAAGAAUUUUUGGAGAUUUGUGGCAAGAAUGAUAAGGAUAAGUUUAGCAAUAAAAAUAUGAUUGGAAAUGAAUCAGAAAGUAAUAACAAGAGGGUCAAGACCUUUGGAUUUGAAAUGGGAAGUCAUCACAAAAGACUCAAUCAUGGGUGAAUUAUAAGUUAAAUUAUUAAACAAAUUUGUGUUUCGGGUGACUGGAGUCUAUUUUGCUCGUGGAAAGUUGGAUCAUAAAAUAAAAGACUGCCCUUUGAACAAUAAGAAAGAGUCACUGCCUCAUAAAUCAUCAGCCCAUGUCAGAGUGUAUACUAUCACUGAAUAUGAUUAUGAAACUUCUGAAGUAGUGGUCGAAUGUAUUAUUCAGGUUUAUGAAAGAAUGCAAAUAUUUGUUUGACCAUGGGUCUCAUCUAUGAUUUGAUUCGGAAUAUUUUGCCUAUCACUUGGGUAUUCAACCUAGACCACUACAUUAUGUGCUAUAUGUAAAUACGAUCAUUAGAGAUUCUUUGAUAACGAACUUGAAUCUGGUCCUCUUGUCUGAUUUUUAUUGGAGAACUUGAACUUUUGCUGAUUUAGUUCUCCUAGAGAUUUGGAGUUAUGAUAUUAUACUUGGUAUGGAUUGGCUAUCUUCUUAUCAUACCAGUAUGGAUUGGUAUAUAACCAAUGAUCACUUUUUGUAUAUUUGAUCAGCCGAUCUUUUAUUUUGAGAGUAUUGGGACAUGAUUUAUCUCUUUGCCUAAUGUAUCCCAGGAUGACUUGCUUGGAUUAUCUCCAAAUGUGAUCUUGCUUUUGAUUUGGUCCUUUGGACAAUCCUAAUAUCUAAGCCUCUCUACAGAAAGAUAUCAUUUGAGUAAGUGGAAUUGGAAAAGCAACUACAAGGAUUAUUAAAUGAGGAUUUUAUUUGGCUUAAUAUUUCAUCAUGGGGUGCUCCGGUGUUAGUUAAAAAGAUGUAUGGAACAUUGAGGCUUUGUAAUGAUUACAGACAGUUGAAUUAGGUGACCAUCAAAAAUGAGUAUUUUCUGGAGUAACGACUUGUUUGAUUAACUGUAGGGUGCGCAAGUAUUUUUAGAAAUUGAUUGAAGGUCGGGUUACCAUUUAUUGAGGAUCAAGGAGGAGAAUAUUUCGGUCACUCUUGGAUAAUUAUGUCAUUAUAUUGUAUUGAUGAAAUUAUUUGAGAGUAGGAGGAGGAAAUAGAGAUAUCAUAAUCCUCAUCUUUUCAUCGAUUGAGCUAUGAUCAAUUUAGAGGACUAAAUUUUCUUUUAAGGGGGGGAGAGUGUAAUAUCCCUCGCUUUUAAAAAUUAUUAAUAAAGAUUUAUAUGUAAAUUGGAGGACCUAUAUGUAAAUAUAGAAAUUACAAGGACUAAACUGCUAAGUUGCAAAAAAGAAAAAAAAAGGGAAAACCGAAAAUUCGGUAUUAUCCCACCGCCUCCCACGCACUCUGUUUCUUCCAGAAACAGAGAGAGCGGUGGGGCGUGAGGACAAGAAGGAGAGUGGUAGAAGAAGAGGAGGUGGCUGCAGCGAGGGCUGCAGCGAGAAGCUGUGGGGCGUGGGGAGAAGAAGAGAGGAAGAAGAGGGAGAAGAGAAGAAGAAGAAGAAGAAGAAGAGAAGAGGAUAGCUGCGGCAAGGCUGCAGCGAGGAGGUGUGUGGGGUUGGGGAGGAAAAGGGAAGAGGAGAAGAAGAGGGAAAAGAGAGGGAAGAGGGAGAGGAGCGAGAGGUGGCAGCAGCUAGGGCUGCAGCACCUCUGUUUCCUGCAGGUGGAAACAGAGGAGAGGUGUGGGGCGUUCGAAGAGGAGAAGAAGAAGAAGAGGAAGAGAAGAGGAAGAGGAAGCAGGGGAAGAGGUUGUGACACCUCUGUUUCCUGCAGACGAAACAGAGGAGAGGGUGUGGGUGACGUCGGGGAGAAGAAGGGGAGGAAGGAGAAGAAGAGAAGAAGAAGAAAGGAAGGAAAAGGAAGAGGAGAAGGGAAGAAAGUAGCUGCGGCUGCGGUUGUGGCAGCUGCAGCUGUGGCAGGGAAAGAAGAAGAGAAAGGAAGAAGGGAAGGAGAGGAAGAAGAGAAGGGGCUACGGCUGCGGCGAUGGCAGCUGCAGUUGGAAGAGAAGAAGGAGAGGAAGAUGAGCAGGGGAGGAAGAAAGGGCUGUGGCCGUGGCUGAGGCUGCGACUGCAGCAUGCAGCUGGGAAAGAAGAGAAGGAAAGGAAGAAGAAGAGAAAGGAAGAAGGGAAGGAGAGGAAGAAGAGAAGGGGCUACGGCUGCGGCGAUGGCAGCUGCAGUUGGAAGAGAAGAAGGAGAGGAAGAUGAGCAGGGGAGGAAGAAGAGGCUGCGAGUGUGGUGGCUGCGGCCGUGGCUGCGACUCCGGCGGCGGCUGCGACGUUGGCUGCGGUAGCUGCGGCAGCGGUGGUGGCUGCAGUAGCUGCAGUAGCUGCUUUUGGGAAAGAGAAAGAGUAGGAACGAGAGAAGGGAAGAAGGAAAUAGUGCAGUGGAAGGGGGCUGCGGUUGUGAUCGCAGUUGCGGUCGUGGCUGCGAUUGUGGCAGCGGCAGCGACGGCGGCUGUGGCAGCUGUGUUUGGGAAAGAAAAAGAAGGAAUGAGAGUAAGAGAGAGCAGGUGACUGUGCCUCGAUGUUCGACACGUGAUGUAGUUACGAAGAAAGGAAGAAAACGGGAGCACAAAACGAAACAGAGAGAGGACACGGAGGAAAAGUAGAAAGAUUGGAUUGGCACCUUCCUUGGAUAUUCAGAUCGAAAUCUUUGAAAGGUCAGCUUGUCACUCUUCGAGAUGUUUGAUUUGGGCUGAGGCAGUGGAUAACUAUUCAGAAUGAUGGGCAAGUCUGGUUGGUUAUUACGAUAUUGUUGUAUAAGUAUGUUUUGUAUGUAAUGAAAUGUUGUCGAUGAACCGAAAUGGAUAUACUGUGUCAAAGUGUUAGGAGAUCUCUCUUAUUUGGAAUUUCUGAAUGUUAAGUCUAAUUUAUGA